CCUACGGGAGGCAGCAGUGGGGAAUAUUGCACAAUGGGGGAAACCCUGAUGCAGCGACGCCGCGUGGAGGAAGAAGGUCUUCGGAUUGUAAACUCCUGUUGUUGAGGAAGAUAAUGACGGUACUCAACAAGGAAGUGACGGCUAACUACGUGACCAGCAG
rnacentral:rRNA from 1 species